ensembl:lincRNA
CAGGACAGGAAGGGGCCGCCGCCAGGGCCGGGCCCCCCACUCCACGGCAUGCGUGGGGCUCCGAGCACGUGGUCCGCGCAGGAAAUCGCUGCGGUGGGGAGCGGUCCGUAAUUCUCCUGCGGGCUGGCGGGAUCUCGGACCCUCAUUGGGGAGGCUGGGGGUCGGGCUGUGGCGCAGCGGGCAGAGCCGGUUGCCAAUGAGGGCUUAAUAAGGCCCGGGCUGAGAAGGGAACGACGGGAUGACGGAGGGAGGUUGGGAGGCAGCCUCCUUCCCCUCCGCCAGGUUUCCUUCUCUGCAAUCUGCGCGAAGAAGUCAAUCGAGAAACGGCCAAAGUUCGUCUUCACAUCCGAGGAGGAAGGGAGGAGGAAGGGAUGCAGGACUAGGAGCACAGGUCAAUUCACAGAUGCGCGCGGCGGGACAGGGGCCCAAGAGGAAUUGGGACGCCGGGGGGUCUCGUUCACAUCAGAAGCGCCUGCACCCCAAGGAUAGACAUUUUUCCGAACCCACCCUGCUGUCUGAGCUAGAGAGACGGGCUGCAAGCGGGGCUGGCAGGCCCCGGGGUCGGAUGGGGCGCCCCCAUCUGGAGGAUCCAGGCCGGCGGGCUGAACCCGGGAAACUCCCCCAGUGCGGCCAGGGACGCGUCCGCGGUGGUGACGACCACAGGCACCUACUGGGCCGCAGGCGUCGAUCUCCGCUGAGCCUUCCUCCCAUCCCACCCAUCUCAGGUCCCCAAAGUCCGCAACACCAGCCCGGGCUAGAAAGCCAAGGGGUCUGGGCGUCCCGCCAGCGCGCGUUCCCCUUCACCUGUACAGAGAUACAGGCCUGGAAUGAAUGAGUUGCCUGCAUGUGUUGAAGUUUGUUUGGGAUAGAAAGAUGACUCAAGCUGAGUUCCCACCCUCAAGACAUCUGGUUAGGAAGCUGGGCCCUGAUCGUGUGGGAUAACCUCUUCAGUGAACUCGGGAUAAGGUAGCGUGAUACAGGGAGGAGGCUGAAUUAAUCCUGCCUGAAACAAAAUGGGGGGGUGGGGGUGGGGGAGGCCUGAUCAAAAAUGUUAGUCCAAUCUAGGGCAGAAAUGUAACUCACCUGAAUUUACUAGACCAUUGUUGUCCCCUUAAGGGCCCUGGGGCUCGCAUCCUCUAAGCCCUCUCUAAAGAAGCUUUCCUUGGGACUUCCUGGCUUGAUCCCUGGUAGGGGAACUAGAAUCCAAUGUGCUUCAGAGCAACUAAAUCUGAGUGCUGCAAAGACAGAGUCCGUGAGGCGCCACAAAGAUUCUGCGUGCUGCCACGAAGACCCGACUCAACCAAAUAAACAAAUAGAGGAAAAAAAUGUCCAAAAAUAAAAGAAAAAGUGUGCCUUUGCUGGGUGCCAGCUGCUUGGCUAGCCUCUCUCUUGCCUCCACCUGCAAUGCUGAUCCAUUCCCCUUCGUCAGGCAGUGGCUGGGGGGCUCUUUUCCCACGAUUGACCAGACCCUCCAUUGGGGGCAGCUGAGAAUGGGAGAUGGGGGGGUUCACGAUCCGUGUCCCCUUCCUCCAAGCCCAGAGCAGACCAGAGCUAGCACAGGGCAGCCAGCGUUUACUGAGGGCUUGUUAUGUGCCGGGCACUUGCGACUACAUUUUACGAGAAUUAGCUCAUUUUGUCCUCAUACCAGGGUGAGGAUGGCUGUUUUAAUGGACAAAAGGGGAAGAGGCACCCUGAAUAGUAAACUUACCCAAGGAUACACAGCCCGGAAGUGAUGGAAAUCAGGAUUUUUAAAUAUGAAUGUAUUUAUCUACUUGUUUUGGCUGUGCUGGGUCUUCACUGCCACGUGGGCUUUUCUCUAGUCGCAGCAGGUGGGGACGACUCUCUAGCGGCAGUGUCUUCUCCUGUUGUGGAGGACGGGCUUUUGGCGCUUCAGUAGUUACGUUUCCAAGGCUUGCGAGCACGGGCUCUUUAGUUGUGCACAGGAAUUUAGUUGCUCCGUGGCAUGUGGAAUCUUCCCAGACCAGGGAUCAAAUCCAUGCCCCCCUGCAUUGGCAGGUGGAUUCUUUUUUUUUUUUUUAACUAUUUUUAAUUAAAAUUUUUUUUACUUUAUUUAUUUGGCUGCACCACGUCUUAGCGGUAGCAUGUGAGAUCUUGUUCCCUGAUCAGGGAUUGCACUUGGGUCCCCUGCAUUGAGAGCUCAGAGUCUUAGCCACUGGAGCACGAGAGAAGUCCCGGCAGGUGGAUUCUUAACAACUGGACCACUAGGGAAGUUCUAGAGUCCAGUUUUAACCACUGAGCUUUAUAAUUUCUGGGGUAGGAAGGCGCCCUCAGUAAUCACCCCAAGAAAUCCCCUCACUUCUGCUUAAGGUUGUCUCAUUUUUAUUUUCUGGCCCUCUCUGAGCUGAACCUUUACAGACAUCUACCCCCCCAAACCAUAGCUAGUGGUGGAACAGGGAUCCCCAGUCCUUAUUCUUCUAGCAGAGUCAAGGGAGACAGAGACUUUCCCAAGGAGCUCCACACCACGGCUAGAAGAGAAUAGUCUCUAAAGACUAUGAGAGAGACUUCCCUGGCAGUCCAGUGGUUAAGACUCUGAGUUGCUCAUGCAGGGGGACUUGGGUUUGAUCUCUGAUCAGGGAACCAAGAUCCCACAUGCCUCGCAGCCUGUCCAAAAGAUAAAAAUAUAUAAAUUAAAAAAAAACAAUAAAGGCUAUGAGAGAUUAUAAACACAUACAGAAUCAGAGCUCACAAUAUCCAGCACCUCCCAGUUCCAGGCCCUGGUUUCUUCUCCCGGCCAUCAGAGGCCCCAAUCGGGAUGUCUGAAUUUAAUUGUUAGUUUUUCCGGUUCCCUCUGUGCCUUCUCAUGCCAGAGACAGGAUCCUAACACAGACCCAGGAUAACAGUGGAUGAGGUCAUGGCCCAUAACUGGAUCGAUAAUGCCAGCAUGACUUUUUUCCAGGGAGCCAUUAAUUUAGAGACAUGGAGGCUCAGAGCCCGUGAACACCACCCCUUUAUCCCACCUCCCCACCAGGAAGGCUCUCUGGGGUGGUCCUCUGAGCUCUGUC